CAGGGUCUUGACAUCCAACUAACGAGAUAGAGAUAUGUUAGGUGCCCUUCGGGGAAAGUUGAGACAGGUGGUGCAUGGUUGUCGUCAGCUCGUGUCGUGAGAUGUUGGGUUAAGUCCCGCAACGAGCGCAACCCCUGCCAUUAGUUGCUACGCAAGAGCACUCUAAUGGGACCGCUACCGACAAGGUGGAGGAAGGUGGGGACGACGUCAAAUCAUCAUGCCCCUUAUGACCUGGGCUACACACGUAAUACAAUGGCCGUUAACAGAGGGAAGCAAUACAGCGAUGUGGAGCAAAACCCUAAAAACGGUCUCAGUUCGGAUUGUAGGCUGCAACCCGCCUACAUGAAGUUGGAAUUGCUAGUAAUCGCGGAUCAGCAUGCCGCGGUGAAUACGUUCCC
rnacentral:rRNA from 1 species